UCUCGAUUCGUCUAGUGGUUAGGAUACCUGCUUGUCAUUCAAUCUUUAAUGAUCGCAGGUGGCCGGGGUUCAAUUCCCCGAUCGAGAG